rnacentral:tRNA from 1 species
GAGGGUAUAGCUCGGUGGUAGAGUGUGUGCUUAGCAUGCACAAGGUCCUGGGUUCAAUCCCCUGUACCUCCA